rnacentral:rRNA from 1 species
AUUGAACGCUGGCGGCGGGCCUAACACAUGCAAGUCGAACGAGUGGCGGACGGGUGAGUAAUGUCUGGGAAACUGCCCGCUGGGGGGGGAUAACUACUGGAAACGGUAGCUAAUACCGCAUACCAUCGGAUGUGCCCAGAUGGGUUUAGCUAGUGGGGGGGGAAAAGGCUCACCUAGGCGACGAUCCCUAGCUGGUCUGAGAGGAUGACCAGCCACACUGGAACGGAGACACGGUCAAGACUCCUACGGGAGGCAGCAGUGGGGAAUAUUGCACAAUGGGCGAAAGCUGGACGCAGCCAUGCCGCGUGGGUGAAGAAGGCCUUCGGGUUGUAAAGCACUUUCAGCGGGGAGGCGUUACCCGCAGAAGAAGCACCGGCUAACUCCGUGCCAGCAGCCGCGGUAAUUC